UGGGAGUUUUGAACCGUUUGGAGCCGUGAGGAGCUGAAAAUCUGUGCGGCUGUCAAAGUUCUUGCAAGUGAUAUUGAGUUGUCUUUUUUUAUUUACACUCCUCGCCGGGUUCAGUGAAAUUCACUAAGAGUUUGUCAGAGGGACAGGCCGUAAUGAGUAGCCAAGAGGACACGUGGGAGAAACUGGACUCGGAAUUUGAUCACUACUUGGUGGACAUGAAGCCUUAUGUCCUGAAACUACCUCACACAUCAGAGCGACAGCGCUGCGCUCUGUGGAUCAAGAAGCUGUGCGACCCGUCCGGUUCCGGCGCCGGCAUCAUGGGCCGGAAGAAUCGCAACUUGUACGCCCGGCUGUUGCUGCACAUGCUGCGGAGGGGAGUCCUGGAGGGGCCGUUCACCCACAGACCAGAGCCCGGGAGCCUGAAGACACUGCCCACGUACAUGUCGAUCUAUUUUGAUGAGCCGCUGUGUGGGAGGCCGCUGGAGCAGGGAUCUGUGAGACUUCCUGACUGGGUGACUGGGGAGCUGGGCCCCAACGAAGAACCGUGGUCCUCGCCCCCCCGGGAAAGACUUCUGUCUCCUGCAUCUGCCCCACGUGCGCACAGGAGAAGACACACGGACAGUGAAAAGUUAACAUCGCAAGCCCGCUCCAGCGUUGUGACGGGAAGAUCAGACGAAGAAAACCAUGUGGCUUUUCAAACCGACGAUCGACACAGGAAGCCUGUGACCUCUUCCGAUGACAGUGACCUUGAAGCACGUCUGAACAGCUGGAAUCUUGGGAUUGAAAACCCCAGGUAUUUGCGAGAGAAACCUAUACCUCUGUCUCCGAUUUCCCUCAAAGCAAGCCUGGGAAAAAAUAGCACCUUCUGUGAUGACCAGACAUCGGUUCACACACAUGAAAAAGAGCUUGAAAUGAAGACAAAAGUACUGGAGGCCAGAUGCCACGAGGAGAAGCUGAAGAUGCAACAAAAGCAUGAUGCUGAUGUUCAGAAGAUUUUGGACAGAAAGAACAAUGAGAUCGAAGAGCUGAAGACUUUGUACAGGAACAAGCAGAAGGAAUCUGAAGAAACCAUUCGCAAGCUAGAGAAAAAAGUUCAAAGCCUGGUACGAGAGUCGCAGGUUAUCCGGGAGAGCAAGGAACAGCAGAUUGCAGAGUUAAAGAAAAUUUCAGACCAAAGUGCCGAUUCUCUGAAAAAUGAGUGGGAAAAAAAGUUGCACAACGCGGUGGCAGAGAUGGAACAGGAGAAGUUUGAGCUGCAGAAGAAGCACACGGAAAACAUCCAGGAGCUGCUGGAUGACACCAACGCCCGUCUUGCCAAGAUGGAGGCCGAGUAUGGCGCGCAGACGCAGGCCACGGACCAGAUGGUCAAAGAGCAGGAGGCACGGGUCCAGCAGCUCACGGUGGAGGUUGAAAGCAGCAACGCGCUGCGGCAGAAGGUGGCCCAGGAGAAGGCUGAGCUGGAGAUCCAGGUGGCAGGCAUCAGCGCUGAGCUCCAGGAGGCCUGCCGCAGGAAUAAUUCCCUCCUGAGAGAGAAGGAUCAGCUCAGUGAGCAGCAUGAACAGAGUGUUCGGAGGAUGCAAACCAAGCGUGACGCGGACCUCAGCCACCUCCAGCAGGAACAUGCUCUCUCGGCAGCCAAGGCCUCAGAGGUGAUUGAAGAGUUGGAGAAGACGGUAACCCAGCUUAAACAAGAGCUUCGCGACACUGAACACAGGAGGCAGAAACAGCUGAGGGAACAAGAAAGCAAGUUUCAUCAAGAGAGAUCAAACUUGGAACAUAUCCACGACAAAAAGGUCCGCGCCUUGCAGAGCGAGGCGGACAGAGACAAGGCCGACGCCACGAAGAAGAUGGGCAAACUGGAGGAGGCCCUCAGGGAGAAGGAGGAGCAGCUGGGGCGGCUGGCGGGGCAGCAGAAGCUGCAGGCCCAGCAGGCGGAGCAGGCCCUGGAGCAGUUCAGGAGGCAGGUGGAGCUCAGCUCAGAGAAGGCCUACUCUGACAUGAAGCAGCAGAUGGAGAAAGUCGAGGCAGAUCUGGCAAGAUCAAAAUGUCUCCGUGAGAAGCAAUCUAAAGAGUUCACCUGGCAACUUGAGGAACUCAAGCAGAGAUAUGAGCAACAGAUCGUGGAGCUAAAACUGGAGCACGAGCAGGAGAAGACGCACCUAUUCCAGCAGCACAAUGCCGAGAAGGACAGCCUGGUCCAGGAUCACGAACGGGAAAUCGAGAAUUUGGAGAAACAGUCGCGGGCCGCUAUGCUACAACACGAGAGCCAGACCCAGGAGUGGAGGAAACGGGACACUCAGGCCGCGGCGGCGCUGGAGGCCCAGGUGCAGCAGCUGCGGGAGGAGCUCGUGCGGGCCGGCGCCCAGCGGAAGCAGCAGCUGCUGGAGCUGAGCCUGCAGCGCGAGGAGGAGCGGCAGAGGGCCGCGCAGGAGCAGGAGGCGGCGCUGGGCCGGCUGCGGGCCGAGACGGACAGGGCGCGGCUGGACCUGGAGAGGGCGCACGCUGCCGAGAGGCAGGCCGGCCUGGAGCAGACCAACAGCAGGUUGAAGCAGAUUGAGAAGGAAUACAGCCAGAAGCUUGCCAAAUCUUCACAGACCAUCACAGAGCUGCAGACCAGCCUGAGCACCGCGAGAGAGGAGAGCCGGCAGCGCCAGCGGGCAGCGGAGAGCCAGCUCCAGGAGACAGCCGCGCGCUGGGAGGAGGAGAGGAGGCAGCUGCUCCGCGAUCACGAGAGAGAAAUCCGGGCCCUUCAGGAUAAGAUAGAGAAUCUCCAGAGCUUGUUGAACUCUUCGGAGAAGAAGCUUCUGAACAAAGAGCUGGAGCAUCAGGAGCAGGUCACCCGUGUCCGGCAGGAGUGCGAGAUGAAGAUCAAGGGACUGAUGCCCGCGGCUCUAAGGCAGGAGCUGGAGGACACCAUCGCCUCCUUAAAAUCUCAGGUGAACUUCCUCCAGAAGCGCGCCGUUGUCCUUCAGGAGGACCUGGACGCCUGCCGCAGCAGGAGGUAACUGCUGCAUUCGGACAGCCCCCUCGUCCUCGUCCACACCUGGUCCUGUUCAGUCCGGAGAUGCAGAGAUCACCUGCAGAUAUUAGCACAGGACUCUUCUGCAGAAUUCCUUCAAAAAUCCAUUUCUGUGCUUCUGGAAUGGUCUCCUCGGGCCCCGGUUUCAGGCGAUGCCAGUGGAAGGGAAAGGGCCGACGGUGACAGUCUCGGGUUCAUGGGGUUCGGUAGCACAGCGCUCGAACCCGCUGAGCCACCCGGGCCCCACCCCGACUCGCGCUGGAGAGCACCUGGCAAGAGAUCGCCUGGCUCGGGCCCCAGCUGCACCUUCAUGCGCCUUCGAGCAACAUCCCACCCAGCGCUCAGGCUGCGUUCGGCUCCCCGUGGGACACGUGGGGUGGGAGUGUGACAGCGUACUUUCAUUUCCAUCUGCAGCUAGUCUUGGCCCAUCAAAAGGAAAGAGAGGCAAACAUGAACUAGUUCUCAGGAUAUAGAAGACAACAGCCACAAUCAGGGGAAUCGCUGAGGCUGGCUAGCAAGCAGGCACUGGUUGUUGACUGCGUACCGCUCAUUGGUUUUUACAGCAAGCUUGAGUGAUUGUGGACAAAGCCUAGAUCUGAUUGCAGCAACUGUUCACUCAGAGUGGAUCAAGCAGGAUCACUCGUCCAUCAGCAGGACCGGCUGCUGUUGCUGUUGCUAAUAUAUGAGAGAGAAUAAAAGCUUUUUUGUGUUUUUUUCAC